GCACUGUCUAAGACGCGUAAUCUUGGGAGUGAAAAAAUUCUUCCGAUAGCAGUUGAGGCCUGAAGUAUGAAUAACAGCAGAUCUGAGAGUGAGGUGUCAGUCAAAGCGGAGAGGAAAACACCCGCGAAACCCGAAUUGUUGAAGAGGAGAGCUAAUUAAAACACUAAGAUGACCUGAUUUCUAUCCAAAUCAGAACUGCUCACUGGUGUUCUGCAUACAAGCUGCAACAAACUACCCAGAUUGUCCAGAUCAGGGAAUCAGAUUUGAGAAUUACUCCUAAUUCCUUACUUGGCUACCUUAUGAGAAACUUUCUUCACAAAAGACUAUAGCCUCCAUAUUUUGGCCUGAAGCACACAGCAAGGGGCUCAUCCUGGUUCAGCAGUGAAAAGCCUCCAUUUGCCACAGUGGAAGGCCUUCAAGUUACCAGACACACAAUUCCCAGACAAGUUGGAAACAAUUAUUGCUUGAGGAAAAGCAGUUCAUUGUACUUUUUUCUUCAUAAAAAAGUGCACUUAAGUGCCAAGUCAGCUUGUCAAGAAACAAUU